AUAACAAAAAAAUCUUCUUACUUACUCUGAAACUCCUCUAUUCAAAUGUUCCAACACUCUCUGUUUUAUUCUUGUGAUGAUCUGUUCUGCUUUAUUACUCUCUCAAGCUUAUCCCUGAUUUUCUCAUUCAUCAAGCCGAGCGACUAACCAUAAGAGACAUAUCACCCUGUAAGUUUAUGAAGAACACUAACUCGAAUGGAGUGUGUAAAUGGGAAGGUGAUCCACUCACUCACAUUCAAAUUGUUUGAAGGUCCAGACGGAGUAAUGAGAAUGCCAUACUUUGAUUUAGAGUAUGAGAUGUGUGACGUACGAUUGCUUGUAAGAGAUGUGAUGAUAGGUGUGUGUAUGUGUAUGUGCAAAAAUGUGAAGUGUGUGACGUAUGUAUUUGUAAAGAUGUGUAUAUGUACUUGUUGUAUAGAUGAAUGUGUAGGAUGUGGAGGUAUAGAAAUAGAAUGAUAGGGUGUAUAUAGAUAAGAUAAAUGUAUAGGGUGUGCAUGUGGAUGUGGACGGUAUAGAUGAAUGUUUAGGGUGUAGGUGUGUGUAUAGAUGAGAUAAAUGUAUAUAGGGUGUAUGGAUGAGAUAUUAUGAUGUGCAUGUGGAUGUCAUAGAUGAAGGUUUAGGUUAUAGGUGUGUGUAUAGACGAUAUAAAUGUAUAUAGGGUGAUAUAAAUGUAUAUCGUGAUUCGUGAUAAA